UACGUAGGGUGCAAGCGUUGUCCGGAAUUACUGGGCGUAAAGCGCACGUAGGCGGCGAAGUAAGUCAGGGGUGAAAUCCCGGGGCUCAACCCCGGAACUGCCCUUGAAACUGCUUUGCUAGAAUCCUGGAGAGGCGAGUGGAAUUCCGAGUGUAGAGGUGAAAUUCGUAGAUAUUCGGAAGAACACCAGUGGCGAAGGCGACUCGCUGGACAGGUAUUGACGCUGAGGUGCGAAAGCGUGGGGAGCAAACAGG
rnacentral:rRNA from 1 species